AGCAAAUAUAUCCAUAAAAGAAUCAAAUAAAUUUAUAAGAAAUUGGAAAAAUUGGAAAUCCAAUCACAGAAUAAAGAAAGUCCCCCCUCUGCAAUUAACUUAUGAACAAAACUUCACAAAAAUCAACAGAAAAAACUUUAAUAGAGUACCAUUCCCUCCAAAUAAAAAUAGAAAUAAGCCUAUGAUUGCCCCUAAUCUUAAUAACCUUCCAUCAAAAAAUUUAACUCCUUUACCACAGGAAUGGAAAUAAUUGAAAAUGAUACCAACAAAAUAAAAAUUUUUACUGAUGGCUGUUUAAUGAAAGACAGAUUAUCAGGUAAUGAUGUUUUAAUUCUAUCUGAAAAAAAUGCUCAGCAUUUUUGCUUUAAAUACCAAAAUCACACAUUAAUCUUAGAAGCGAACUAGCUACAAUUGACUUUGCUCUUUAAAAGCUUCCAAAAGAUGAAAAACUUACUGUCACAAUCUAUAAUGAUACAAAAGCUGCAGUUCAAAGCAUCUAUAAUUUCCACAUCAGUAAAGACUAACUCCUAAAGAGCAUCUCUAAAAACUUGAACAAACUCAUCCUUGACAGUCAAGACCAGCUGGAUUCUAUCACCUGUUAGAAUACCUGGCAGUGAGACAGCAGAUAAACUUGAUGUCUUGGUGUCAUGCACUCCUUCAAUAGGGAACACUCAUCAAAAAUGAAACAGGAUUCUAUCAAAAACUGGAGGCAAAGCUGAGACCAGGAAAAAUCAUGAACCUCAACUUGAACAAGAAUGAAGAAAUUAUGAUAUGCAGAUUAAAAUCAGGACACCUGAAACCCCUGACUUUUGAGCAAAAGAGAGAUUUUCUCAUUAUGUACAAAAUUGAGAAAGAAUCUGCCACUCUAGAAUAUAUAAUCAUGUGCUGUUAUGCUACAUACACUGCUCUUUUCAAUGACCCCAAGAGUGUCAUUGAUCUUGUCAUCUGUUCAAACCUCUAUGGCCUAGUCUAAAGUGAACUUUGAGAUAGGAAAGAAGACUUGUAACAGUUAUAUAUCAUGAAGAUUUGCCAACACUCUAUAUACACUCUGUAGUAAAAAAAAUUAAUGCAUGUUCAUUGCAAGUUUGCUAUAAUCAUAUGAAGCAGCUUCUCUGAAAUUCUUUCAGUGCUCAUACUGUGGAUACUUCAUAGAGGCAUCUUCAUAGACUAUAUAAUGAAAUAACAAAAUCAGAUAUGUCUAUUUAUGAAUGCUGUUCCUUAUAUUUGGCCUCAGAUUUGCACUUUUCAUAAGCUCUCAAAACAUCUGUGCAUUCAUUGGCAAUGGAAUUUUAAUCAUCUAAAUACUUAGUUGAAAAGUAC
rnacentral:lncRNA from 1 species